rnacentral:rRNA from 1 species
ACUCCUACGGGAGGCAGCAGUGGGGAAUAUUGCACAAUGGGCGCAAGCCUGAUGCAGCCAUGCCGCGUGUAUGAAGAAGGCCUUCGGGUUGUAAAGUACUUUCAGCAGUGAGGAAGGUGGGUAUGUUAAUAGCAUACUCAUUUGUACGUUAGCUGCAGAAGAAGCACCGGCUAACUCCGUGCCAGCAGCCGCGGUAAGUACGGAGGGUGCGAGCGUUAAUCGGUAAUUACUGGGCGUAAAGCGCAUGCAGGUGGUUGUUAAGUCAGAUGUGAAAGCCCGGGGCUCAACUCGGAAUUGCAUUUGAAACUGGACAACUAGAGUACUGUAGAGGGGUAGGAAUUUCAGGUGUAGCGGUGAAAUGCGUAGAGAUCUGAAGG